CUACGGGACGCUCCAGUGGGGAAUUUUGGACAAUGGGGGCAACCCUGAUCCAGCCAUUCCGCGUGAGUGAAGAAGGCCUUCGGGUUGUAAAGCUCUUUCGGCAGGAACGAAACGGCGGGCUCUAACAUAGCCUGUCAAUGACGGUACCUGAAGAAGAAGCGCCGGCUAACUACGUGCCAGCAGCCGCGGUAAUACGUAGGGUGCGAGCGUUAAUCGGAAUUACUGGGCGUAAAGCGUGCGCAGGCGGUUAUGUAAGACAGAUGUGAAAUCCCCGGGCUUAACCUGGGAACUGCGUUUGUGACUGCAUAACUCGAGUGUGGCAGAGGGGGGUGGAAUUCCACGUGUAGCAGUGAAAUGCGUAGAGAUGUGGAGGAACACCGAUGGCGAAGGCAGCCCCCUGGGUUAACACUGACGCUCAUGCACGAAAGCGUGGGGAGCAAACAGGAUUAGAUACCCGAGUAGUC
rnacentral:rRNA from 1 species